UACGGGGGGAGCAAGCGUUGUUCGGAUUUACUGGGCGUAAAGAGCGCGCAGGCGGCUGGUCAAGUCCGAUGUGAAAGCUCCCGGCUUAACUGGGAAAUUGCAUCGGAAACUGAUCGGCUGGAAGGUGGGAGAGGGUAGCGGAAUUCCCGGUGUAGUGGUGAAAUGCGUAGAUAUCGGGAGGAACACCAGUGGCGAAAGCGGCUACCUGGCCCAUUCUUGACGCUGAGGCGCGAAAGCUAGGGGAGCAAACGGG
rnacentral:rRNA from 1 species